rnacentral:rRNA from 1 species
UCGCCUGUUUUCAAAAACAUGUCCUCAUGAUAAUAAUUUGAGGUUUGACCUGCCCACUGAAUAUUAUAUAUUUGAAGGGCCGCGGUAUUUUGACCGUGCAAAGGUAGCAUAAUCAUUAGUCUUUUAAUUGAAGGCUUGUAUGAAUGGUUGGACGAGGUAUUGACUGUCUCAGUGUAAAUGGUAUUAGAAUUUAACUUUUAAGUCAAAAGGCUUAAAUAUAUUUAGAGGACGAGAAGACCCUAUAGAGCUUUAUAUUAAAUGUUUAUUUUUUCGUUUAGUAGUAUUUUGUAAAUAGACAAUAUAAUAUUUUGUUGGGGUGACAGGAAGAUAGAAUAAACUCUUCUUAAGAUGUUAACAUUGAUUUAUGAUUGAUUGAUCCAUUAUUAGUGAUUAUAAGACUAAGUUACCUUAGGGAUAACAGCGUAAUCUUUUUUGAGAGUUCUUAUCGACAAAAAGGGUUGCGACCUCGAUGUUGGAUUAAGGGUAAUUUUGGGUGUAGAUGUUCAAAGUUUAGGUCUGUUCGACCUUUAGAUCCUUACAUGAUCUGAGUUCAAACCGGAGA